GGCGUGCCUAAUACAUGCAAGUCGAGCGAACAGACGAGGAGCUUGCUUCUCUGACGUUAGCGGCGGACGGGUGAGUAACACGUGGAUAACCUACCUAUAAGACUGGGAUAACUUCGGGAAACCGGAGCUAAUACCGGAUAAUAUAUUGAACCGCAUGGUUCAAUAGUGAAAGACGGUUUUGCUGUCACUUAUAGAUGGAUCCGCGCCGCAUUAGCUAGUUGGUAAGGUAACGGCUUACCAAGGCAACGAUGCGUAGCCGACCUGAGAGGGUGAUCGGCCACACUGGAACUGAGACACGGUCCAGACUCCUACGGGAGGCAGCAGUAGGGAAUCUUCCGCAAUGGGCGAAAGCCUGACGGAGCAACGCCGCGUGAGUGAUGAAGGUCUUCGGAUCGUAAAACUCUGUUAUUAGGGAAGAACAAAUGUGUAAGUAACUAUGCACGUCUUGACGGUACCUAAUCAGAAAGCCACGGCUAACUACGUGCCAGCAGCCGCGGUAAUAACGUAGGUGGCAAGCGUUAUCCGGAAUUAUUGGGCGUAAAGCGCGCGUAGGCGGUUUUUUAAGUCUGAUGUGAAAGCCCACGGCUCAACCGUGGAGGGUCAUUGGAAACUGGAAAACUUGAGUGCAGAAGAGGAAAGUGGAGUUCCAUGUGUAGCGGUGAAAUGCGCAGAGAUAUGGAGGAACACCAGUGGCGAAGGCGACUUUCUGGUCUG
rnacentral:rRNA from 1 species